rnacentral:rRNA from 1 species
GAUGAACGCUGGCGGCGUGCCUAAUACAUGCAAGUCGAGCGAACGGACGAGAAGCUUGCUUCUCUGAUGUUAGCGGCGGACGGGUGGGUAACACGUGGAUAACCUACCUAUAAGACUGGGACAACUUCGGGAAACCGUAGCUAAUACCGGAUAAUAUUUUGAACCGCAUGGUUCAAAAGUGAAAGACGGUCUUGCUGUCACUUAUAGAUGGAUCCGCGCUGCAUUAGCUAGUUGGUAAGGUAACGGCUUACCAAGGCAACGAUGCAUAGCCGACCUGAGAGGGUGAUCGGCCACACUGGAACUGAGACACGGUCCAGACUCCUACGGGAGGCAGCAGUAGGGAAUCUUCCGCAAUGGGCGAAAGCCUGACGGAGCAACGCCGCGUGAGUGAUGAAGGUCUUCGGAUCGUAAAACUCUGUUAUUAGGGAAGAACAUAUGUGUAAGUAACUGUGCACAUCUUGACGGUACCUAAUCAGAAAGCCACGGCUAACUACGUG